UUUCCAUCAUUGCUUAUCGUACCCCAAACUCACGUGCCACUAAGAACGCACCAUGGACAGCACGGGGCUGUCUUUCGAUGCCUGUCUGCACUGGAGCCCCUGUAUCACCAUGAAAGAGGAUCUGGAGACCCUACUGGCCUUGGAACAGGCAGAAAUAGUAGCCAAGUAUAAUCAGGCACACCAAGCAGGGUCUCCAGUGGAACCUCAGGAAGAUGCUGACCUCUCGCUGUGCAGGGUCACUGACCAUCAUGGUUUUCUGCAGGAAAGGGAGCUGCCUGGCCCCAGCCCCCAUAAGGCAAAGCAAAAAAUGCCGGGAGACCUGGAGAGCAGACAAGCAGGUGAAGAUGCUGUGCAAAUGGGACACAUACCAGCACAGCAAGAAGAAGUAUCCCCUUGCCUGGGGAGUCUGAUGCCAGAGCCAAAGCCACCCCCAGGCCCAAGGGGCACCAGAGGUAGCAUCAGAUGCAUGGAAGCAUCUACAAAGGGGUCCCUCUGCAGGUGCGAGGUCAGGUUAAGUCCUGCCUGCUGGACACUGAGAAGGUGAAGUCAGAGAACAAAGGGAAGGAAAUAUGAGUUUCCAUCAUUGGUAAAGAGAAGUAGUAUGAUGAACGCCCCAAUGCCGUCACCAGGUCCAGCCCAGGGUUCUGUGCUCAUCCCAUGCUUCCCCAGCCUCAAGGGUGUCACAGCAAACCAGGGACCUCGGGUCUACUUUAUCUGUGGACAUCUCCAUAUGCAUUUUAGAGAAUAGCGAUUCCAUGUAGGGGCACCUACACUCCAAUGUUUAUACCAACAAUGUCCACUAUAGCCAAACCAUGAAAAGAUCCCAGAUGUCCAUUGAUAAAUGAAAGGAUAAAGAAGAUAUGAUGUGUGUGUGUAUAUAUAUAUAUGUGUGUGUGUGUAUGAAAGAAAUCUUGCCAUUUGCAACAACAUGGAUGGAACUAAAGUAUUAUGCUAAGGGAUAUAAGUCAAUCAGAAGGCAAUUACCAUAUAAGUCCACUCAUAUGUGGCAUUUAAGAAACAAAACAGAUGAGCAGAGGGGAAGGGAGGUAAAAAUAAAACAAGACAGAAUCAGAGAGGGAUUUAAACC
ensembl:lncRNA